rnacentral:lncRNA from 1 species
CUGGAAGACUCCGUUCGGGCCCCUAUGGGAGCCGGGCUUCGUCUUCGACUUCGACUACUGGUAAACGUCGUCCGGACUCCUACGGGAGCCAGACUUCACCCCUGACUUUAAUUGCAGGUGGACUUUACCUGGACUCCUACGGGAACUGGGUCUCGUCCCCAACUCUGGCUGCAAGAAGACUUCACCCGGACUCCUACGGGAGCCGAAUCUCGUCUCUGACUCCGGCCACGGGAAGACUCCGCCUAAGCCCC